rnacentral:rRNA from 1 species
GAUGAACGCUAGCUACAGGCUUAACACAUGCAAGUCGAGGGGUAACGAGAGGAAAGCUUGCUUUCCUUGUCGACGACCGGCGCACGGGUGAGUAACGCGUAUCCAACCUGCCCCCAACUAGGGAAUAACCUUGCGAAAGUAAGACUAAUACCCUAUAAUUUCCUCAGAUGACAUCUGACGAGGAAUAAAGAUUUAUCGGUUGUGGAUGGGGAUGGGUCUGAUUAGCUUGUUGGCGGGGUAACGGCCCACCAAGGCAACGAUCAGUAGGGGUUCUGAGAGGAAGGUCCCCCACAUUGGAACUGAGACACGGUCCAAACUCUUACGGGAGGCAGCAGUGAGGAAUAUUGGUCAAUGGGCGGAAGCCUGAACCAGCCAAGUAGCGUGCAGGAUGACGGCCCUAUGGGUUGUAAACUGCUUUUAUACAGGAAUAAAGUUAGCCACGUGUGGUUAUUUGUAGGUACUGUAUGAAUAAGGACCGGCUAAUUCCGUGCCAGCAGCCGCAGUAA